rnacentral:rRNA from 1 species
CCUACGGGUGGCAGCAGUGAGGAAUAUUGGUCAAUGGGCGCGAGCCUGAACCAGCCAAGUAGCGUGAAGGAUGACUGCCCUACGGGUUGUAAACUUCUUUUAUAAAGGAAUAAAGUGAGGCUCGUGUGCCUUUUUGUAUGUCCUUUAUGAAUAAGGAUCGGCUAACUCCUUUCCAGCCGCCGCGGUAAUACGGAGGAUCCGAGCGUUAUCCGUAUUUUUUGGGUUUAAGGGGAGCGUAGAUGGGUUGUUAAGUCAGUUGUGAAAGUUUGCGGCUUAACCGUAAAAUUGCAAUUGAUACUGGCAGCCUUGAGUACAGUGUAGGUAGGCGGAAUUCGUUGUGUAGCGGUGAAAUGCUUAGAUAUCACGAAGAACGCCGAUGGCGAAGGCAGCCUACUAAACUGCCACUGACAUUGAUGCUCGAAAGUGUGGGUAUCAAACAGGAUUAGAUACCCCUGUAGUC